AAACUGCUGCCCAGACUAAUCAAUUUAAGAAAUAAACUCCGUGAAUACAGUACGUAUAAUGCUGAUGAAACAACGAAAAACUUCAAAAAAUUGAUGAAACGAAGAGAAGACUAACCGAUUGUCAAGAAAUUGUGAAGAAACCCUAGAUUCUGAAAAUAGUUGCAAACCCGAAUGAAAACCGACAAGGGUAGUACCGCACGAAAGCUCUUGACGAGGAGAGUCGGAUAACCCGCUCUGAUACCAUGUUAACAUCCAUGGUAGCCAUGGAUUUGAAGGAGAAAUGAAGAAGAUGAAUAGUGACAGAAGAGAGAGAAGAGAGGAUUCUGAAAUAAUAUUUUUUCUCGAAUGUUCUGUACAACCGACCCUCUUCCAUAUAUCAAAAUACAAAACUAAUGAAAAUAUCUGUGUGUGUGUGUAUACAAUGUGUGCCACAUAAAAUAAAUACAAUGGCUGUUUUUACAAUGGCUAUUGCUCAAAUGCUUAAAUGUGGCU
rnacentral:lncRNA from 1 species